rnacentral:rRNA from 1 species
UAGAGGAAGUAAAAGUCGUAACAAGGUUUCCGUAGGUGAACCUGCGGAAGGAUCAUUAUUGAAAUAAACCUGAUGGGUUGUUGCUGGUUCUCUAGGGAGCAUGUGCACGCCUUGUCAUCUUUAUAUCUCCACCUGUGCACCUUUUGUAGACCUUCUAGGUCUAUGUUGCUUUUUCAUUUACCCCAAUGUAUGUUAAUAGAAUGUUGUGACUAUAAAAACUAUACAACUUUCAGCAACGGAUCUCUUGGCUCUCGCAUCGAUGAAGAACGCAGCGAAAUGCGAUAAGUAAUGUGAAUUGCAGAAUUCAGUGAAUCAUCGAAUCUUUGAACGCACCUUGCGCUCCUUGGUAUUCCGAGGAGCAUGCCUGUUUGAGUGUCAUUAAUAUAUAUCAACCUUCUCAUUGCUGAGUGGUUUGGAUGUGGGGGUUUGCUGGCCUCUUAAAUGAGUUCAGCUCUCCUGAAAUGCAUUAGCAGAACAACCCUGUUCAUUGGCGUGAUAACUAUCUACGCUAUUGAAUGUGAGGGACAGUUCAGCUUUCUAAUAGUCCUUGGACAACUCAUCAUUUAUGUGACCUCAAAUCAGGUAGGACUACCCGCUGAACUUAAGCAUAUC